UGGGGAAUUUUGGACAAUGGGCGAAAGCCUGAUCCAGCAAUGCCGCGUGUGUGAAGAAGGCCUUCGGGUUGUAAAGCACUUUUGUCCGGAAAGAAAUCCUUGGCUCUAAUACAGUCGGGGGAUGACGGUACCGGAAGAAUAAGCACCGGCUAACUACGUGCCAGCAGCCGCGGUAAUACGUAGGGUGCAAGCGUUAAUCGGAAUUACUGGGCGUAAAGCGUGCGCAGGCGGUUUGCUAAGACCGAUGUGAAAUCCCCGGGCUCAACCUGGGAACUGCAUUGGUGACUGGCAGGCUAGAGUAUGGCAGAGGGGGGUAGAAUUCCACGUGUAGCAGUGAAAUGCGUAGAGAUGUGGAGGAAUACCGAUGGCGAAGGCAGCCCCCUGGGCCAAUACUGACGCUCAUGCACGAAAGCGUGGGGAGCAAACAGGAUUAGAUACCCUGGUAGUCCACGCCCUAAACGAUGUCAACUAGUUGUUGGGGAUUCAUUUCCUUAGUAACGUAGCUAACGCGUGAAGUUGACCGCCUGGGGGAUACGGUCGCAAGAUUAAAACUCAAAUGAAUUGACGGGGUCA
rnacentral:rRNA from 1 species